CUGAGUUAUCCAACUCCAAACCACUGUGAACUUACCACUGUUGCUUCGGCGGUUUCGUCCCAGGCGCCCUGGCGCGACCUGGAGCAAGACGUCCGCCGGAGGAUUCAAAACUCUUGUUUUAUAUUGUAUCAUCUGAGUGGGUUUACAAAUAAAUCA
rnacentral:misc_RNA from 1 species